AUUGAACGCUGGCGGCAUGCCUAACACAUGCAAGUCGAACGGAGUGGCGGACGGGUGAGUACUGCCUAGGAAUCUGCCUGGUAGUGGGGGAUAACGUCCGGAAACGGGCGCUAAUACCGCAUACUAUCAGAUGAGCCUAGGUCGGAUGAGCUAGUUGGUGGGGUAAAGGCCUACCAAGGCGACGAUCCGAAACUGGUCUGAGAGGAUGAUCAGUCACACUGUAACUGAGACCCGGCCCAGACUCCUACGGGAUGCAGAAUUGGGGAAUAUUGGACAAUGGUCGAAAGCCGGAUCCAGCCAUGCCGCGUGUAUGAAGAAGGCCUUCGGGUUGUAAAGUACUUUCAGCGAGGAGGCGUUACUCGCAGAAGAAGAACCGGCUAAGUCCGUGCCAGCAGCCGCGGUAAUAC
rnacentral:rRNA from 1 species